rnacentral:rRNA from 1 species
GGACUACACGGGUAUCUAAUCCCGUUCGCUCCCCUGGCUUUCGCACCUGAGCGUCAGGUGCUCCCCAGGACACUGCCUACGCCUUCGGUGUUCCUCCGGAUCUCUACGCAUUUCACCACUCCACCCGGAAUUCCGUGUCCCUCUGAAGCCCUCAAGUCGUGCAGUUUUCAAAGCACUUUUCCAGUUAAGCUGGAAACUGUCACUUCAAACUUACGCGACCGCCUGCGUGCGCUUUACGCCCAGUAACUCCGGACAACGCUUGCCCCCUACGUAUUACCGCGGCUGCUGGCAC